ACUUGGAAGAAUGUAUAGCAAUUGCUAAUUGUUUCUCCUUUAAAUGGAACAAUAUCGAUUUGAUCGAAUAAAAUUCUGGGUAAAAUUAUGAUAAUGACAUCGUUUACUCAUGAGUCUUGACCAAGUUACGUGCCAGCAGUCGCGGUAAUACGUAGAAGACAAGUGUUAUUCAUCUUUAAUGGGUUUAAAGGGUACCUAGACGGUGUAUUAAGCCUCAAAAGGAACUGAUAUACUAGAGUUACUUAUGAGGAAGUUCUAAAGUACUAGAGGAGUAGAGAUAAAAUUCAAUAAUACCUUUUUUUUUAUAAAAAACUUCGGCACAGGUAUAGGUGAAAACAUCUUCUUAUGGGAUAACUGACGUUGAGGGACGAAGGCUUUUAAUCGUGAACAGGAUUAGAGACCCUGGUAAUGGAAGCAGAAAACGCUGAGUGUCAUAGAUUAGAUAAAUAUUUACUCUAUAAAUGAAAGUGUAAGCACUCCACCUCAAGAGUAAUUUGGCAACAUUGGAACUGAAAUCAUUAGACCGUAUUUGAAACCAGUAGUGAUGUAUGUUAUUUAAUUUGAUAAUCCGCAAAAAACCUUACCACAACUUGAAUGCCUAUAUAUUUAUUUUUAUUAUAUUUUUGUGUGUAGUUUUUUGUAUAACCUAAACUACACAUUAUACAAUAAUAUCAUAAGGUAAAAUCAUAGGUACAAGUGUUGCACGGCUGGUCUACAGUUAAUGUCGUCAGACUAUGGUUAGUUCCAUUAAAUUAACCGUAAACCCUUUGCUCUAUUUUUAAAUAAGAGUAGUUCUCCACUAUAUUGGGAUAAGAUAAACA
rnacentral:rRNA from 1 species